CAGCCUUAUUGAAACACUGAUUCACUUAUGAUCACCGAAGUUAAGCAAGAUCGAUUCUGUUCAGUACCUAGAUGGGUGACCGCUUAGAAACACCAGGAGCUGUAA